CCUUGCAGCCCUCUUUGGGCGUUUCCUCCCUAGACUUCGGGCCGCUCGCGAGAGCGGCCUUUUUUCUUGGUGCCU
rnacentral:sRNA from 1 species